GACGAACGCUGGCGGCGUGCUUAACACAUGCAAGUCGAACGGAAGGGCCCGGCUUUUGUGGGGUGCUCGAGUGGCGAACGGGUGAGUAACACGUGAGUAACCUGCCCUUGACUUUGGGAUAACUUCAGGAAACUGGGGCUAAUACCGGAUAGGAGCUCCUGCUGCAUGGUGGGGGUUGGAAAGUUUCGGCGGUUGGGGCUGGACUCGCGGCUUAUCAGCUUGUUGGUGGGGUAGUGGCUUACCACGGCUUUGACGGGUAGCCGGCAUGGGAGGGUGACCGGCCACAUUGGGCCUGAGGUACGGCCCAGACUCCUACGGGAGGCAGCAGUGGGGAAUAUUGCACAGUGGGCGGAAGCCUGAUGCAGCAACGCCGCGUGCGGGAUGACGGCCUUCGGGUUGUAAACCGAUUUCGCCUGUGACGAAGCGUGCGUGACGGUAAUGGGUAAAGAAGCAACGGCUAACUACGUG
rnacentral:rRNA from 1 species